GCCCUGCUUUUAACACCUGUGUGUGUGUUUGUGGUAUAUCAGCUGCCCUGCUUUUAACACCGUGGUGUGUGUGUGUUAGUCAGCUGCCCUGCUUUUAACACCUGUGUGUGUGUAUGUUUAUCAGCUGCCCUGCUUUUAACAACCUGUGUGUGUGUGUAUGUUAUCAGCUGCCCUGCUUUUAACACCUGUGUGUGUGUGUAUGUUAUCAGCUGCCCUGCUUUUAACCCUCUGUGUGUGUGUAUGUUAUCAGCUGCCCUGCUUUUAACACCUGUGUGUGUGUAUGUUAUAGCUGCCCUGCUUUUAAACCCUGUGUGUGUGUAUGUUAUAGCUGCCCUGCUUUUAACACCUGUGUGUGUGUAUGUUUCAUCUGCCCUGCUUUUAACACCUGUGUGUGUGUUAUCAGCUGC
rnacentral:lncRNA from 1 species